UACGUAGGGCGCAAGCGUUAUCCGGAAUUAUUGGGCGUAAAGGGCUCGUAGGCGGUUUGUCGCGUCGGGAGUGAAAACACUGGGCUUAACUCAGUGCUUGCUUUCGAUACGGGCAGACUAGAGGUAUGCAGGGGAGAACGGAAUUCCUGGUGUAGCGGUGAAAUGCGCAGAUAUCAGGAGGAACACCGGUGGCGAAGGCGGUUCUCUGGGCAUUACCUGACGCUGAGGAGCGAAAGUGUGGGGAGCGAACAGG
rnacentral:rRNA from 1 species